rnacentral:misc_RNA from 1 species
AACCACACAGAGAACAAUUUACACGUAGAAUGCAACAUUG